rnacentral:rRNA from 1 species
AGCUCCAGUAGCGUAUAUUAAAGUUGUUGCAGUUAAAAAGCUCGUAGUUGGAUUUCUGGUUUGACAAGAAUGAGGUCGCUAGCCGUCAGGCGCGUGGCCCAGUACUCGUCUGCCAUCCUUCUAGAAAGCGCGCCUACCCUUGAUUGGGCGGGGCGCGGGCUCUAGAUCUUUUACUUUGAAGAAAUUAGAGUGUUCAAAGCAGGCUUGCGCUAUGAAUACAUUAGCAUGGAAUAAUAACUUAGGACUUAGGUUCUAUUUUGUUGGUCUAUAGAACUUGAGUAAUGAUUGAUAGGGAUAGUUGGGGGUGCUAGUAUUCAGCGGCCAGAGGUGAAAUUCUUGGAUUCGCUGAAGACUAACUUAUGCGAAAGCAUUCGCCAAGGAUGUCUUCUUUA